AAAGAAGCUGUUUUGGCCUAUGGCAAGAAAGUUUACAGCCAGGCGGGAAAUCCAAGAGAGACACAAAGGAAAGAGAGUGGAGUCGGGGGAGACGCAAUCCAGCCACCCAAGAAGGAAGAUGUGAAAGUACUGCUUUUGGACUGUAUAUAAUGGCUAUCUACAACAUCACACUGUGCAGUAGCACAUUUAAACUUGCCUAACUACAUUCACUUCAACUUCUGGCAACCACUAUUCUACUACUUCAACUUCAAAAAGACCAAGGCUUUGGAUAUUUGACUUCCUAUGCCUACCAUAUUACUUUAACAUAAUGAUCUCCUGUUCAUCCACGUUGUCAGCAGUGACGUGAGUGACUUCAUUCUUCUUGUGGCUAAACGGUAUUCUGCUGCAGGUUCAUCCAUGCAUCCGCUGGUGGACAUUCAGGCUGUUUCUAUUUCUUGGCUAUAAUGAACAAGGAUGUGUUUCCUUGUCAUAUUGAUUUCAUUUCUCUUUUGAUAUGCACAUGUGUGCAGUUGCAUAUACACUUGUGUACAGAGGCCAGAUUUUGACAGAGGAUGUCUUCCUCAGUAACCCUUUGCCUUAUUUUUUGAGACAGGGUCUCUCACUGAACUUGGAGAGCACUGAUUUGCCUAGACUGGCUGAUAAGCAGAAAACAGGGAUUCUCCCAUCUCUGCAUCCUUGGUGCUGGGAUUACAGGAGAACAUCACUGCAUACAGAUUCUUUACAUGUGAUCUGUGGGGAAUCGAAUGCUGCUCCUCAUGCUUCUACAGCGAAGUUAACAAACUCAGCUCUCUCUCCAGCCCUGAUUUCAUCUCUUAGGCUAUAAUAUCCACAAGUAGACACUGCAUUCUCGAUUUCUAUUUCAUAUUAUAUGAUAUUGACAAAUAGCAUUGCUGCUGAUUUUUUCUCUUGCAGCUGAUGAUUUCAUUAGUGUUGGUAGUUUGAUUCCGGGGCUUGGGUGGUUUCCUGUAUGAAAUCAUGUCAAUGUCAAGCAGUGGUAAUUUAGUUUCUUUCUGUUCUGAUUUUGUCAACUUUUAUUUUUUUCCCUCGUCUGAUUUUGCUGACCAGGACUUCCAGUAUAAGGUUGAAUAAAAGAGGACAUUGUUGUCUUGUUCCCGGUCCUAAGAGGGAGUUCUUAUCUAUGUACUGUUUAGUAUACUGCUGCUGCCUUCCUAUAAAUGGUCAUUAUUUUUA